rnacentral:rRNA from 1 species
UACGAAGGGGGCUAGCGUUGUUCGGAAUUACUGGGCGUAAAGCGCACGUAGGCGGAUACUUAAGUCAGGGGUGAAAUCCCGGGGCUCAACCCCGGAACUGCCUUUGAUACUGGGUAUCUCGAGUCCGGAAGAGGUGAGUGGAAUUCCGAGUGUAGAGGUGAAAUUCGUAGAUAUUCGGAGGAACACCAGUGGCGAAGGCGGCUCACUGGGCCGGUACUGACGCUGAGGUGCGAAAGCGUGGGGAGCAAACAGG